UACGUAGGGACCAAGCGUUGUUCGGAUUUACUGGGCGUAAAGGGCGCGUAGGCGGCGUGUUAAGUCAGCUGUGAAAUCUCCAAGCUUAACUUGGAACGGUCAGCUGAUACUGAUGUGCUAGAGUGCAGAAGGGGCAAUCGGAAUUCUUGGUGUAGCGGUGAAAUGCGCAGAUAUCAGGAGGAACACCGGUGGCGAAGGCGGAUCUCUGGGCCUUACCUGACGCUCAGGUGCGAAAGCUAGGGGAGCGAACAGG
rnacentral:rRNA from 1 species